GUCUUUUUGUUAUUUUUAAAAAGUCUAGUCUGCCCACUGAAAUUUAAAUGGCCGCGGUAUUUUGACCGUGCUAAGGUAGCAUAAUCAUUAGUUUUUUAAUUGAAAGCUGGAAUGAAGGGCUGGAUGAAAAAAUAUCUGUCUCUAUUUAAUUAAAAUGAAUUUUAUUUUUAAGUUAAAAAGCUUAAAUAUUAUUAAAAGACGAGAAGACCCUAUAGAGUUUUAUAAUACAAUAAAUUAAUUUAUUUAGAAUUAAAUUUUUAAAUUUAUUAUUAUUAUUUGAUUGGGGUGAUUUAAAAAUUAAAAUAACUUUUUAUUUAUUUUUAUAUAAAUUAAUAAUUAAUUGAUCCAUAUAUUUAUGAUUAAAAGAUAAAUUACCUUAGGGAUAACAGCGUAAUUUUAUUGGAGAGUUCAAAUUGAUAAUAAAGAUUGCGACCUCGAUGUUGGAUUAAAAUUUAUAAUUGGUGUAGAAGCUAUAUUAUUAAGUCUGUUCGACU
rnacentral:rRNA from 1 species